rnacentral:rRNA from 1 species
AAGGUAGCAUAAUCAUUUGCCCUUUAAUUGUGGGCUGGAAUGAAUGGAUACACGAGAGAAUAGCUGUCUCUUUGUUAGAACUAAAAAUUAGCUUUUAGGUGAAGAGACCUGACUAUAAAUAAAGGACAAGAAGACCCUGUUGAGCUUUAUUUAGCAUAGGUCAUGUAUAGUUUGGCUUUUUAUAAAUUUGGUUGGGGCGACUGGGGAGUUCCUUUACUUCCUUUAUUUCUGGGCUAACAUGCCUUUAGAGAUCCAAAAACUGAUUUAAGGAAGAAGCUACCACAGGGAUAACAGGCUAAUUCUUCUAGAGAGUUCAUAUUGACAGGAGAGGUUGGCACCUCGAUGUUGGCUUAGGGUUUCCUAUCAGUGUAGCAGCUGAUAAAGGUGGGUUUGUUCAACCUUUAAUACCCUACGUGAUCUGAGUUCAGACCGGA